AAAUUACUGGCGAACAAGCUAUUUCUAUAUUUUGUUACGGAAUCUAUACAGGAAUUGAAGAAACUAAUUAUCGAAGACUGGCCGGGAUUUGAAGAAUACUAUAAAUCUUUACAAAGUAUUUAAGUUAAG